rnacentral:lncRNA from 1 species
GGGCCUGUGCUGGUCACGUAGGAGGGGAAGCUGGUGCCAGGCGUGCAGAGGCGUGUCUAGGAUACCAGGGCAAGGCUGGCCCAAGGACCUGGGGCGGGCAAGAUGGUGGAGAUGUGGUUUUCAAGAAGGCAGGGAGGCUGCAGAUUUGUUAAUGUCUUUCUCUUUGGUCUAGGAGAUAUCGCACUAUGGGAAUGUGGGGAAGGGGGUUGGUCAGAGCCUGGGGCUCUGUCUGUCAUUACUCUGGCAUUUCAACUCCUCAUUCAUGGCCUAAUUCCCCCUCCCUGGGAGUAGGGGCACCAAUAAUACUGUGGCCUGGCCUGUGUCCCCUUUUCUCCUCCUUCCUCCCUCUGCUCUCUAGACUUAGGGCCUCUAGCCGCAAGCACCCCUCAGUACUCCUCACUACCACCCUCACCCUAACAUCUCUGCCCCAGCUUUAUUCACCCCUACUCAUUCUCCUUGGU